GACGAACGCUGGCGGCGUGCUUAACACAUGCAAGUCGAACGGAAAGGCCCUGCUUUUGUGGGGUGCUCGAGUGGCGAACGGGUGAGUAACACGUGAGUAACCUGCCCUUGAUUUUGGGAUAACUUCAGGAAACUGGGGCUAAUACCGGAUAGGAGCUCCUGCUGCAUGGUGGGGGUUGGAAAGUUUCGGCGGUUGGGGAUGGACUCGCGGCUUAUCAGCUUGUUGGUGGGGUAGUGGCUUACCAAGGCUUUGACGGGUAGCCGGCCUGAGAGGGUGACCGGCCACAUUGGGACUGAGAUACGGCCCAGACUCCUACGGGAGGCAGCAGUGGGGAAUAUUGCACAAUGGGCGGAAGCCUGAUGCAGCAACGCCGCGUGCGGGAUGACGGCCUUCGGGUUGUAAACCGCUUUCGCCUGUGACGAAGCGUGAGUGACGGUAAUGAGUAAAGAAGCACCGGCUAACUACGUG
rnacentral:rRNA from 1 species